AAAGAUGAUGAGAGGAGAUAAAAUACAAUAGACAGUCUAGAACAGACCUGGGCAAAUUAAGGCCCGCGGGCCACAUCCGGCCCUUUGUACGUCCCUGUCCGGCCCGCGUGAGGCCAAUCAUAAACACCAUAAAUUAAACUUUUUUUUAAACUUUUAUUUUGAAAAAUAAAUUGCACUGGUUCAAUAAUUGUUUUUCUUAUUUAACCAAUAGACCACAGUUUCACAUAACCUAAUAUACAUAUUUACAGAGUGCUUUAUUCUUCUGAUUAUCAGUACCAGCUAUUCAAAAUAUUUAAUUUAAGUAUUUUACAAUGAAAGAAAGUUGGUGGCCCUCUGACACAAUUCAGGCUUCUCAUGCGGCCCCUGAUAAAAAUUAAUUGCCCACCCCUGGUCUAGAACAUGGGUGUCAAACUCAAUCACGUCACGUGACAUAUUGUGACUUUUUUGCCUUUGCGGAGCCAGAGUGGGCGUGACCUGUGCUAACGCAUCUGGCCCACCAGUUUGACACCCCUGGUAUAGAGCAAUAAUCAGUUGAUGGUUUAAUAUAAUGAAACUCAAAACCAAUAGACAUAAAAGCUGCUAAAUCCCAACAGAAGAUAAAAUUUAUUCAAAACCCAAAUGGAAAAAAUAUCCAUCAUUAUAAAGAAAUAAUUUGGAGAAUUUUUUAUAUUCUGAUAUGUAUAAAAAUCCACAAGGCAUGAUACUUAACUUCACAUUCAACCUUUGGAAAUGAUACACUAUGCAUAUUUCUUGUAAACAAUUGCAACAUCUAAAACAAUGUAGUAUCAUGAUAUAAUAUAAGGGCAUAGAGCAUAUCCAAAUCAAGAUGUAUUCACAAUCAUCAACAAAGGUCUGUUAACAUAUUUUACAGAAUCUGGGAUCAGAUUAUAUUCUCUGGACUCUUAAAUUUAUUUCCAGUAUUUUUAAUUUUGUUAUAUUGCUAUGUAGUUUAUAUAAACAUCCCAUCUUCACAUAAACUGAUUUGAUAUCUCCUUUUUUUAGUGACAGUGUAAUUUACAGGUCAUUUUUUUCUCAAUAAGGGAUACUACUGUAUGAGAGGAAAGUGAUAGGUGUCAAACUUUUCCUGUUUUCUCUGAGAGGAACCAGUGGCAAGUUUAGUGUUUUAUGUAUUUUUAGGGGAUGGGGUGGGGUGGGGUUAUAUUAUUUUUUUGCCCCAACAUGGGAGUAAAUUAUGCCACUGUCAACUACACUACAUCUUUAAAAAGUAACAUACAUAUCCACACUCUGCAUUAAGUCUCUCUAUAAAUUGAAUGACAGUUUUAAAGAAAAAUAGCCUUGAAAUUAAACGUUUUAGAAGACAACUUCAGUUAGGCAGCUGUUUGUAACCACUGACAAUUUAUAUAAAGAUCUGCUUCCCAUUCAGACUAUGAACUCAAAUGAACAUGGAAGAGAUCACUAUAAUCUAGACCGGCUCUCCAACCUUGGCAACUUUAAGACUUGAGGACUUCAACUCCCAGAAUUACUCAGCCAGCUUUGCUGGCUGAGGAUUUCUGGGAGUUGAAGUCCACAAAUCUUCAAGUUGCCACGGUUGGAGACCCCUGGUCUCGACGUCUCAAGCCAAUUCGACCAGACCAGGUUGCUCUGUUCUUAACCGAUGUGGGGAAACAAAGAGGAUUUCUCAUCAUUGGUUGGACAAGCUGGGAAUCCAGAGAGCUGAAUUGCAGCAACAACAGGCGUGCCACAUAUGUCUUAACCUUGUUCCUGGUUUUCUGCUCAUGUUUUGUCAUGCUGUGGUGUUGAAAAGGUAUCUAGAAUACUAGCAAAACUGGAUUUCAACUAUGGCAAAACAGCUUCCAUUCACCUUCACUUGAAUCCUGUCUUCUUGGACAUUUUUCCACAGAAGAAUGGAAGGAAGAAUAAGCCUUCACUUCAAACUACCAAAUAAAUUCAUAUAAACAAGGACCAAGUGAUAUUUUUUUUAAAAAAACUUUAUUUCAUGUA